AGUGCUUUGAACUUGAAAGUUGUCAUUAGUAGAAAAUAGUUGUCAGAUGGCUCACUUAGUCUAUAUAUUAAUAUGCUCACACAGCACUUAUGUGUUCAUGGGGUGUAUGGUACUUGGGAGAAGACCAAGAAUAGGGCUGGGCAAGCCUUUUGUAGGCACAUUGGGAACCUCUGCUUUAUUUCACCUUAGCCCAGUAAUGUAGUACAUUGGUUUCUCGGCUUUCUUG
rnacentral:lncRNA from 1 species